AUUAAAAGCAAUUUCUAUCAAAAGUCUGACAGGUUUUUUUGGGGGUAGAAAUUGACAAAUAGUAAAAUUUAUAUGAAAGUUCAAAGCCAAGUCACUUUUAAAGAAGAAGAUAAAAUAGACUUGUUUUUCCCAAUAAUAAAGCUUACUAUAAACCUAUAGAAUUAAGAUAAUGUGCUCCUGGCACAAAAAUAGACAAAGCAGCCAAUAAAGCAAAACAGAUUUCAAACAGAUGCAGGCACUCGUGAAUCCUUUAUAUGUGAACAGAGGUGAGGAAGGAACCAACUGUUCAAUGGUGUUGAGACAAUCAGACAUUGUGUGAGAGGGAAAAAAAAGCCACUAGGGCUUCCCUGGUAGCUCAGCUGGUAAAGAAUCCGCCUGCAAUGUAGGAGACUCCAGUUCAAUUCCUGGGUCAGGAAGAUCCCCUGGAGAAGGGAAUGGCUACCCACUCCAGUAUUCUGGCCUGGAGAAUUCCAUGAACUGUACAGCCCAUGGGGUUAAAAAGAGUCAGUCGGACACAUCUGUGCGAUUUAAAAAAAAAAAAAAAGGAGGGGGAUGGUUCUCCUCUUACAUUAGUCACAAAAAUCAAUCCCAGAUGUCUUUAAAAAGAUCCAUGGAAAAAAGCAAAUUUAUAAAAUUUUAGAAGGAUAUAUAGGAUAAUAUCUUCUUGACCCAGAGACCAGAGAGAAGUUCUUAAAGACAACACAAAAAGCACAAACCAGAAAAGAUUAAAAAAACUUUAGAAAUAGACAGGUAAUAUACAAACAGACAAUAGCCAGACCAUAGUUGACAAUACAACUUUGACCCACACAUCUGCAGCAGACAGGCAAGGAAGCCCCACCACCACUCCCACAGCAAUCAGCCUAGAACAGUCAGGACCUGGUCCAUGUCUACAUUACAACCCUACUUCUGUCUCUACUUCCAACACAGGACGAACCAGAGAAGCGGAGUAUGUUUCCUAGGGCCUGCCUUCCAGUUAGCCACCUGCAGCUACUUUCCCUCUGCAACUGCCGCCAAUCAGAGCACCCCUGAAACCUUCUUUUUGGUCAUCAAGCUUUCCCAUUCCUCUGCCUGCCUUGAAGGCAUCUCUGCCCAACACAAAUGAUAGCAGCUGCCUCCUGGCCAUAGCAACUUUGGAGUAACACACUGAUGUGCUUAGUCGUGCCUGCCUCUUUGAGACCCCACGGACUUUAUCCUGCCAGGCUUCUCUGUCCAGGGGAUUUUACAGACGCUGAGCCCCCCAGAUCCUCCAGUGCUUCCCAACCUCUACGCCUCCCAGCACAUGGAAGAUGGUAGUACUUGCACAACACUGAGGGAGCCGAUGGGGCAAUCUGCAGCCUGAAAUGAUCAGCCAGGACUGCUCCCAACCUCUUCCCCGCCUUCCCCUCCACCUUUGCCACACCAAGCAGGGCUGGGCAUGGGGGAUCGUCAAUGCCUUUCCCCAUCUAUACACCGUAUGCACCUACA